rnacentral:rRNA from 1 species
AUACGUAGGGGGCGAGCGUUGUCCGGAAUGAUUGGGCGUAAAGGGCGCGUAGGCGGCCCGGUAAGUCUGGAGUGAAAGUCCUGUUUUUAAGAUGGGAAUUGCUUUGGAUACUGUCGGGCUUGAGUGCAGGAGAGGUAAGUGGAAUUCCCAGUGUAGCGGUGAAAUGCGUAGAAAUUGGGAGGAACACCAGUGGCGAAGGCGACGUACUUGACGGUAACUGACGCUGAGGCGCGAAAGUGUGGGGAGCAAACAGGAUUUGAGACCCUGGGAGUCCACGCUGUAAACGAUGAAUACUAGGUGUGGGGGGACUGACCCCCUCCGUGCCGCAGUUAACACAAUAAGUAUUCCACCUGGGGAGUACGAUCGCAAGAUUGAAACUCAAAUGAAUUGACGGGG